UGCAUUGUGACUAUCUGGAGACCAACAGAGGAAAUUAGACAAGCUCUGACAGAAGGAGCUGUGUUUUCAGUGCAUUACCUUUGUGCAAAUGGCCAUAAGUAUGGCGACUUGCAGCUGACUGCCACCAGGCAAACUAGGUGGGAGAGGUUGACCAGUCCCAGCCCUUCCCAAUUUCAAGAGUGUCACGAGAAGUCACGCCUCUGUGCCUGACGACCUCGGGAGAGCUGGCUCCUCUUUGGCGGGAGGUGGAUGUGGUAGGAAUUGUGCUUAGAGUUGGGGGCUUGAGGCAGGCUGCCAGCUGGUUCAUCUGGUGGAUCACCAGGUCAAUAUUCUGGCUCUGAAAUUCUGGGGAGGAAUCAAGGAAUGUGGCAUGGAAGAUAUGGUUCAAGUGGGUGCCUUUCUGUGUGUGUCCAAUGGCAGCUGGAGAGGGCAUACGGGUGGGAGAUUUGGAUGUGUGCACAUAACAGAGCUGACAGCAGUCACAACUCAGCCCCGCAGGCCUCAUCUUGAAGAGCAAGCUUCCCAUCUAAAGAAGAGUGUUGAAGUUAGUGUUCAUA